AUUGAACGCUGGCGGCAGGCUUAACACAUGCAAGUCGAGCGGAGAUGAGGUGCUUGCACCUUAUCUUAGCGGCGGACGGGUGAGUAAUGCUUAGGAAUCUGCCUAUUAGUGGGGGACAACAUUCCGAAAGGAAUGCUAAUACCGCAUACGCCCUACGGGGGAAAGCAGGGGAUCUUCGGACCUUGCGCUAAUAGAUGAGCCUAAGUCGGAUUAGCUAGUUGGUGGAGUAAAGGCCUACCAAGGCGACGAUCUGUAGCGGGUCUGAGAGGAUGAUCCGCCACACUGGGACUGAGACCCGGCCCAGACUCCAACGGGAGGCAGCAUUGGGGAAUAUUGGACAAUGGGCGGAAGCCUGAUCCAGCCAUGCCGCGUGUGUGAAGAAGGCCUUUUGGUUGUAAAGCACUUUAAGCGAGGAGGAGGCUACCUGGAUUAAUACUCUAGGAUAGUGGACGUUACUCGCAGAAUAAGCACCGGCUAACUCUGUGCCAGCAGCCGCCGUAAAAC
rnacentral:rRNA from 1 species